rnacentral:rRNA from 1 species
UACGUAGGGGGCUAGCGUUGUCCGGAAUCAUUGGGCGUAAAGAGCGUGUAGGCGGCCCGGUAAGUCCGCUGUGAAAGUCGGGGGCUCAACCCUCGAAUGCCGGUGGAUACUGUCGGGCUAGAGUGCGGAAGAGGCGAGUGGAAUUCCUGGUGUAGCGGUGAAAUGCGCAGAUAUCAGAAGGAACACCUGUGGUGUAGACGGCUUUCUGGACGAUUCCUGACGCUGAGACACGAAAGCGUGGGUAGCAAACAGG